AAAAUCAUGAAUCGCCCAACUAUUGGGCCUCAUGGCAUUAAUCUCGAAGAAAAUCAUUUCUGGCCUUGGCCCGAAAAAAGUUGAAAUCGCCGGGAUUUGUUCGAUCACAAUUCACACAGCCAAUUGAAUAGCGCGCCUUCUGUGUCUGCAAUGAAAGAAGCGAAAGAGAUCCAGUUUAAGGUGUUUACAGUGGUGGAGUAUUGAUGGAUAACUGAUGCCAUUGUUCCGGAGUUGUAAUUCUUCUUAAUCAGCAGAAACCGAAUCCGGAUAUUUCUUUUUCUCUUGGAUUCUAAAUUCUUGUUUUAUUCCUUACUUGAGGUGUGCGCUUAUUGAUCGCUUGUGUGCCGCACCUCGCCUGAAGUGUGGUAGGCGCCAUUCUGUUCUUUGCAUUGCCUCAGGACCUGAAUCUUGCCUUUGUUUUCAUUAGAGGCAUGAAAUGCUCAAAGUGUAAUGUUCUUAAAUUUGAUUUGUCCCAGCUCCUAUAUUUAACAAACUAUAUGUUGUAUUUUGUUUGACAGAUAUAAUAGGUGUUAUACAUCAAAUUAUACGCACAUCAUUGCUUAUUUUUUUACAAAUAGUUUAGAUAUACAUGAAAACAGGUCUAGUAGUACAACUUAUAUCUAUAGUUGUACAUAUACAUGUUGUACAACUAGGACUUAUUUUCAUAGCUGCUUCGCUUCGGGUUGGCGGUAUGGUGGGAUGUUAUAUUGAAUAUGUUUCAUACAUUCUCGAAAAGUAUUUCUUUUUUAUUCAUUUCGACAUGCUCCACUGGUGCUUUAAAGUUUUUGGAUUUGUUUCUGCUGUGGGUUCUUCUAUUUUCUGAUGAAAAAGUGAUACUAGAACAUUUGUGAUGUCGGAGAUGAUAUGUGUGGCUUAUAUCAUAUAAUAUAGCUAUCAAGGCGAACCCACCUUGUAUCAAAGGAGGUUAAUUUAAUCAGUUUUGUGGAAAAGAAUUACUCUAUACAGAGAUAUAAUACAUAAUUAUAGAAAGCUAACCACUUAACACAGAUGGAUUCCAGUAUGCUCGUAAAGGGCUAAAUCUGUUGCUUAUAUCAUGCAUUCAAUUCCUUUGAACUUUUUUUUUCUUUUUUCAAUUUAUGUUUCCAGCCAGACCCCUUCCACUCUCCCUCUCACACCCCUUCUCUGUUUUUUGAUGCAUCCAGAGAUUUCAAUAAAAAGAGUACGAAAGAAAAAAGCAGAUGACCUGAUUCUGCAUUCUGUUUAUUUCAGCAUUCUCCUUGCUUAUAGCAUCAACCAUGCAGUGAUACUUUGUUUUCUUUUUCAGAGUAAAUAACUGUAGUAGUUCUUUGGUCACUAUUUUUGCUAUAUUAAGUAAAUUUCUUUCAUGCCAAUUGGUUGGGUAAUGAACUAGUGAUCUACUUAUAUGAAUUUGGAUAAUCUUUCCCUCAUUAGCUAGCUUUUGAGGUUGAGUUAGACCCAAGUGUCAUAUGUUUACAUGGUAUAAGAGCUAGGUCGUUCCAUGUUUGGGGCCCAAUGUUAUAUUGUGCACUCUCCAGUUGGGAGAGCUGGCCUUGGGCAUUGGGCUUGGGUGUGAAGAUGUGGUUGGAGUUUGUAUUGGUGGUUUGCUUAUAUGGACUUGGACAAUCCUCCUCAUGAGCUAGCGUCUGGGUUGUGAGUAAGGCCCAAAUACCAUAUGUUUACCGGGAUUGUUUUGUAGGCUAAUAUUGGAAAUCUCAUUCUAACAAAUUUAUAUUUGAUGUUUUACCAUCUCAUCUAACAAUUUUAAGUUUGUGAAUUUAAAACCUCUGUAAGUAGAAUGCUUCCCGCCAAAUUUUAAUGAUGUGGUGCUCUCAAAUGUUUUAAUAUACAAUCUUGGAGUAACAACAACAAUAACAUACCAAAUGUAAUCUCACAAGUGGAGGCUGGGGUGUGUAGAGUGUAUGCAAACGUUACCCCUACCUUGUGGAGGUAGAGAGGCUAUUUCCGAAAGACCCUCGGCGCUAGAACAGCAAAUCAAAGUAGCUAUGGAAAAGGAAAUACAACAUUAAAGAUACACAAUUUUGGAGUGGCUGAAUAAUUAUUGUGUCUGUUUCUAUUUCUGAUUAUUGAGUUUUGUGAUGUUGCUUAUUGUUGUCUUUGUAGCUUUCUUCUAGUGAGGAAUAAAAAUGGUCUAUUGAUGUUAUCCAAGUCAGUGCAAGUGUUAGGUGUUAGGUCUAGUGGAUAUCUCAUUACAGGAUAAUAAAAAGAAUGGUGAAAGUAAUGUUACCAGUUUCAAAAAAAAAAAGAAUGGUAAAAGUUUUAAUUUGUUUGCUUUAUCUUUUAAGGAAGGUGCUAGACUUCUAGGAAUUCAGAAAGACUCCUCAUUGUGUUGGGCAUCAGAUUGAUAGUUGAAUCGAGGAGUUCAACAGAAACUCUGCAUAUGCAUUAGCCUAAGGUUUAUAAAUAUUCAAUUUGUUAAAUUGCUUGUGUUUAGUAAUUUAAUUAGCAGAAUUUUGAAAUUCUUACCAACAUUUUCGUCGUUAGUUCUAGAUAGUUUUAAAGAAGAAAGUUGGAAAGUAAGUUUUGGGGGACUAGGUACUAUUGUGCAGAUUAAUACAAUUUCAUCAAGACAUUCAUGAAGAUAAAUACGAUAGUAAUAAGAAAAAAAAAAUUAUGUUGUUUGGAAAUUGAGAAUUUCCAUUUGAGUUGAGUCAAAGCAGUUGCCUUGGUUUUAGUCUAUCAUAAGCAAAAAGACAUCAAAACCAUGCCUUUUGAGCCUAAAAGAAUUUUAUUUAGGUGGAAACAAAUAUGACAGUCAUUUUGUCUUCAAGUUAUUAAAGAGUAUACACUAAGUAGUCUUAACAAACCAUAAAGAAGCAUCCAGCAAUUAUGAGGCCGCUUAUCUGAAAUCCUAUCUAUAUUGUUUAUUAUAUCUUAUGGGUCAUGGUUUGUGAUAUUCUUUUUCCAUUUUUGGCUUCAUUUAUCAAAUGAAACAGGCAUAUCUCUGGUUUGUUAGAUGCCACGUCCAAGCUUUCAUUUCCCUAUUUAACAUUAUCUUCUAAAUGUGGGCUAUCCAGAUUUACACAUGUGCAAUGCACAUGUCAUCUCAUAUAAAACAUAGACAGCACCAAAGACUUAGUUUUGCUUUCUUGCAACAUAUUAUAUCUGUUAUUUAAGCUGUAAGGUAGGUGGUUCAAAGAGAUCAUUUUUCCCCUUCCUAUAAUUGAAUUUUUGUUCAGGAUUUUGAGUGUUGGCAGUCAUGUGGGUGAGGCAUGCAAUGAUGUCAAGCAUUAUUGCAAAGAGGGUAUCCCCAAAAGUUGAUGUUAUGUGGGUUGGACUAGUAACAAGAUGACACAAAUCAAUAGCCUCUUUACUGAAAAGGACACUCAAAAGUUUUUUCUUUAAGAUUUGUAUCAAAAUCUAUGUCACCAUUGGUUCCCUUGGGGACCCUUUCUCAUUGGUGUUGACACGUUAUUGAAAAUUGGUCCCUUGACUUAAUCUUCUGCAGCUUUUUGAGGAGAUAUUGGUUUGUUGGUUCAAUUGUUUUCAGCUGAAUAUGCCUUUAAUAAACUCCUUUUUUUUUUUCACAAAAUCCAAGUUGUGCUAUCUUUUACUUUUAGCAUUUUGAUGUUCUUGGAACUUUGUUAGUAAAAGGUGGAAAUGGCUUCUUGUGGGCCAUUUUAGAAUCUGUAUUAUGUGGGUGUUAGAGAAUUAUGAUAUAGAGAGCAAUCUGAUAGUAUCUUCAUGAAAAGGUGCUUUUUUAUCUGAUUACUAGUUUUGCUUUAUAACUCUCUCUUCUUGAUUUUUCCAUCUGGUCCAUAUGCUUUUUGUUGAUGUGUUGUACUAGGUAUCCCCAACAGGCAAACUUAGUUUUAACAUUGUUUGUUUCCUUUAAUUGACUAGAAGAUUUGGUCCUUUAGGAACUUGAGAAGCCAAUAUGAUGUCAGUAGUGAUUUAGCUUAAUGAAGUCAGUUACUAGUAUUAGUCAUAAGAAAUCCUGGGAAAGUUCUGGAACUUCUAGAAGCGUCACGAAGUUUCCGAGUCAAAGGAUAUGUGCAAAAUCAGGAGUUUCUUGUUGGAAGCACAUGUUUGAAGAUUCUAGGUUUUUGUAUAGAUUGCAGUUGUUUCAAACUUUGUGAGCUGUAAAAAAACUGGA